AAAAUAAUAAUAAUUAAGAAUAGUUGAAAAAAAAUUAUUUGAACUUGGACUCAAUGGCCCAAAGAAAAAAAAUGUGAGAAUUGGAUAUGAUUUUUUAAUUUGGGCCCAAGAGAGAUCUGAUGUGGGCUGGAUCCGAAAAAAAUAAUCAAAUAUAAAUGUGUUAUUAAUAUUACUUGAUUGUCUUUAAUAAAACAUCUAAUGUUAGUAAAGAAAAGGGUAGGUUAAAAUAGAAAGGACAAUAUGAUUAUGCUUUAAUAGUAUAGAUUAUACUACUCUCUUUGCAUCAUUUUAAGUGAUUUUUAAGGCUUUUGCACAUGGAUUAAGAAAACACAAAAUUUUAUAUAAUUUAUCUUGAUUAUAUCAAAAUAUCAUUAAAUGAAAUUAUUUCAACCAAUAAUAAAAAAAACUCAGUAUUUUGUAAUUGGUUAUAAAAUUUAAAUAGAUAUUAAAUUCUACCUAAAAUAAUGAGAACAUCAAUUAUUUCGAAACAAUUUUUUUCUUUCUAAAUACCACUUAAAUGAGACGGAGGGACUAUUACAUUAAAAUGUUACUCCCCUAUUUUUAAGAUGGCUCAGUUUUAAAAAUAUAACCGUUAGAAAACGCAUCUUCUGCUCGUUAACGUUAAAUAAAUAUGAACGUUAAGAAUCGUGUGCGUGUCAACUGACUCCUUGAAGAUUUGCCAAACCGGAAAAAUCCGAUUACGAUCUUAGAUACGUAAGUGUUUGGCUCUCUGUAAAUCGUGAAAUUUGUUUGAGGAUUUCAGAGUUUCGAGUUCUAUAAUCUGAUCGUAAAUUUGCUUCUGAAUUUCCAAAAUUUCAUGUCUUGUACAAUCUUUUCUUCUCGAUUAGAUUGUUUUGGUUUCUUUUGAAGGUUGAUUCCCCCUCGUUGGGUUUCUCACUCGUCAUCGUCGAGAGUUGCUGCUUUACAGUACCUGGAAGCUUACUCUGCGUCAAACCAUCGUCGCCAAGGUAAAUGCUCUGCUCUGUCUAUGAAAUAAAAAUGCAAUUUUCUUUUUCUUUUUCUAAUUUCUGUCUUUUGAGGAUGGAAUUCAAACGAGGGCACAUGAUUUUGAAAUCCAAAAAAGAUCAUUGGCAAACACAAAUCUUAAUAGUGUUAUGUCCGAUUUUUAUUUGGGUACAUUGUCCCGUAAGGAAUCUUUUGGUUGGUAGUGAGUAUGUUAUGGCGAUGGCAUAAAAGACUCAGAUUCUAUUGGUUGGUAGUGCAUGCUUAAUAAGAAAAAAACUAUAUGGGGAUUAGAGGAAAAUAAUGACCCACGGCUUAUAGUAGAAGUCCUUGGAUGGAAAAACGACCAAUGGCUUUAGGUAAGACUCGUUGGAUUGGAAAAACGACCGACAGCUUAAUGAUGUCUUAAGACAAAGACUCUGAACCACAAAGAGGUUGGGAUGGGUUGGUUUACGAUUUGUUGGAUGGAUAGAAAAAAAUGACCAACAGCUGAAAUAAGCUUGAGACAAAAGUCUGAAACAAAAGUCUUUUACACAAAGACAAUAUGGGGUUGCUUAGAAAAAGGUCCUUGGUGGAAUAAAAGAGUUCAAACAGCUUAAAGAAGUCUCUUGACAAAGACAAAAGGGGCUGGUAGAUAUGCUAAAUGGAAAAAAAUGACCAGCGCCUCAGAAACAAAAGGUCCUUCGAUGGAAAGCAAAAGAGGGGAAAACAAAAAGCGACCAACAAGCUUGAUGAAGUCUUGAAAGAUACAGGGCUUAAAACGUAUAGAAAGACUAUGAGUUGGAUGGGUAUAAUGAACAACUCUUAAGACAACAAAAGGGAAGGAAGAAUGACAAAUUAUCUGAGAUCAGUCUUACCAUAAAAGACUAAACCGAAAACAGUUUCUGCUUUGUUAUAAAAGUCAAGACAAAUAGCAUGAGUUGGUUUGUAAUUUGGUGAAUGGAAAGGAUGAACAAAUUGUCCUUAAUACAGAGCUGAUACCAAAAAAAACAACUAAUGGCUUCUUUUGACAAAGGCUGCUAACGACUUAACGAAUCAUAACACAAAGAUUCUAAGCAAGGAUUAUGAACCGAAAAUAGAUUCUUUAUUCUGGAUAAAGACAAUAUGGGUCCCUUUUUAGAUAUGUUGGAUGGAAACAUUGGCCAUCGGCUUAGAAAAAAAGGUCAUUAGAUGAAUAAAAACGACUAAUGGCUGAGAGAAUACUUGUUGAAUGAAGAAAAUAACAAACAGCUUUAAAAAGUCAUAAGGCAGACUUGUUGGAUGGUAAAACAACUUACACUUGCUGUAUAAAAUGAUAUACCCAACGGCUUAGAUUCUUGACAAUUACUGACUAUGAAUCAAACUUACGGCUUAGAAGUCUCUUGAGAAAGUCUAUGCCAUGAACUUGUUGGAUGGUAGAAACAACUAAAGACUGACUUGCUGUAUUGAUAAAAGACCAAAGGUUUUAAAAAUUCAUAAGGCAAAGCUUCUUGACAAUAUGAAUCGACAACAGGGUUUUACAAAACCACAUGGCUUAGGAGUCUUCUGAAAAAGACUACGGCUUGUUUUGGUAUAAAUAACCAACAGCUUUAAAAUGUCUCAAGGGAAGGCUAUAGAUGGAAAAAACAAACCCACGGCUCAAAUGAAAUAAAUCUCUCAUAACUGCAAACUACGGAUGGAGAACUGAUUCUUUACUCUGCCAGACAGCUUCAAAUAGAAAGUCUCAACACACAGACUGCGAACCAUAAGGUUUAAAGAAUCGUUUCUAAAAGACUAUUAAGUUGGAUGGAAAUAGUGACCAACUCAUACUGUGAAAUCAGUCUUAAACAGAGACCUACCAAUGGCUUAAAGAAUCAUAAAGCAAAGAUUCUUAACAAAAUAUUAUGAAUCUAAAAGAGAUUCUAACUUAACGGCGCCUUAAAUAAGACUUGUAGGAUGGGAAAAGACGACCAAUAGCUUAAAGAUAUCUUAAGAAAAGACUCUGAAGAAGUUCUUAGAUGGAAAAAAACACGGCUAAUGGCUUAAGACUUGCUUGAUGGGGAUAACCACAAGGCCUAAAAGUAUAAAAAGACUAUGAGUUGGACAUACUGACCAAAUCUUAUUAUAAAGAGAAUGGAAGAAUAUCAAAUUAUCUGAAAUCUCUAGACAAAGACUAUGAGUUGGUACUUGACUUUUUUUGGGUAGAGAAACAACCCACAGCUUAAAAAAGUCAUUGGACAAAGACAAUGUCUUGGUUUACGUAUUGUUGGAUGGGAAAAACAAACAACCAACGCUUAAGACAAAGUAUGAAAUCGCUCUUAAGACUAUGGACAAUGUCUGAAACCAGUUUUAAGACAAAUAGCUGAUACCAAAACAACUCACAGAUUUGGAAAGUCAAGCAGCGACAAAAACUACCAACGACUUAAGAUGUCUUAAAGAUAAAGAUACUUAACAAGGAUACUUAACUGCUUAAAUAAAGCUUGUUCGAUGUAGGCAAAAAGUAACCAACGAAUUCUUCGAAAAGUCCUUAGAUGGAUAAAAAUAACUAAUGGCUUAAAUUAGACUUGUUGUAUGGUAAAAAACAACCAAGAGCUUAAGAGAUGUCUUAACACAAAAUAAUCUUAACUGAGAACUGUCUUUGCAAUAACCAAAAGGCUUAAUUGUAUAGAACGACCAAUCAGAUAACUGCAGAUAACUAGCGCCUAAGAAAGUCGUAAGGAAAAAGGCUGAAUUAACAAUAAAAUCCUUACUUUUUGCCCACGGCUUAAGUCCUUGAUGGGAAUAAAGUACAAAAUAGCAUACAGAAGACGCUAGACCAACAUCUUAAAAGAGUCUUAAGACAGACAUUAUAAUGGCUGAGAUAAUACUUGUUAAAUGAAAGAAACGACAACAUGUUUGAAAAAAAAAAGUCCAAGACAAAGACUAUGGACCAAAAGGCUUAAAGACCUGUCUUUGUUUAAUAACCACAAGGCCUAAAAGUAGACAAAAAUAGAUGUAUCGACCAAUUGUCUGACAUCAGUUAGAAGCUAGAGCUCAUACAAAAAAACUGCCAUGGCUUUGGAAUGUGUCCAGACAAAGACGGCCUACGGCUUAAAAAUGUCCCAUAGCUUAGAAAAGUCUAAGACAAAGACUUGUUGGAUGGUAAAAACAACUAACGAUUUGCUCUAUACAAAAAAAAAACUAACUGAUUCGAAGAUUCUUAUUUCCACAUGGCUUAGAAGUAUGUUGAGAAAGUCUAUAUUAUAGACUUGUUGUAUGAUGAAAGACCAACGGCUUUAAAAUGUCACAAGGCAAUGAUUCUUGAAAGUAUGAAUCUACAACAGAGUCAUAUGUAACCACAUGGCUUAAAAGUCUUUUGAAAAAGACUAUGGGUUCUGUUCUGGUAAAAUGACCAACGACUUAAAAAGGUCUCAAGACAAAGACUAUGAACCACAAGGUUUAAAGAACUGUUUCUGCUAGAUAACCACAAGGUUUAAAAGUAUACAAAGACUAGAAGUUAGAUGGAUAGAACCACCAACUCUUAAGAAAAAAGACAAUGGAAGAAUGACUAAUUCAUAGUCUGAAAUCAGCGUUUAGACAGAGACUACCAAUCCUGAGAAAGAAGCAUAGCACAAAGAUUAAUAUCAAGUAUUAUGAAUCUAAAAGAGAGUCUUACUUAACAGCUUAAAUAAUACUUGUAGGAUAGGAAAAGAAAGAACCAACGGCUUAAACAUGCCUUAAGACAAAGACUCCGAAAAAGUCCUUGGAUGAAAAAAACGCCUAAUGUCUUAGACUAGACGUUGGAUGAAUAUAAAAAUGAGCAACGGCUUAAAGAUGUCUUAAAGAUACAUACUCUGAACUGAGAACUAUGUAUUUGCGAUAACCACAAUGCUUAAAAGUAUAGAAAGAGCAAUCAAAUAACAAGCGCUUAGAAAGUGUUAAUGCAAAGACUUAUCAAUUAAUUAAUAGAUUCCUUACUUGUGUAUCCACAGCUUAGGUCCUUCACGGAAAAAGGUGCAAACAACAUACAAAAGUCUCUAGACAAAGACAAUAUGGGUCUGUUUUGAGACAUGAUGGAUGGACCAGCGGCUUGAAAAAAAAGUCAUUAGAUGGGAAAACCACCAAAAGAUUAAAGAAACCUUAAGACAAAGACUAUGAUUCGGUUUAUAUUUUGGUGGGUGGAAAGAAAUGACCAAAAGACUAAUUAAUUCUGAUUUUUUUUUCAGGUAUAUGCUUCAGAAGUUGUUAAAACAUCAAAACAUAAUAGAUUCUGAGAAUAAUUCAAAUGUAGCAGACUUCUGUAACAGGUAUGUGCUUUUCAUACUUGCUUGUAAUUAGUUUCUGAAAUUCCCAAGUAUGAGAAACAUAUGUGAAAUCUAGAUUAAGUUCAUUAUCACCAGACACGUGCUUGAAUAAGCAUCCAAAAUCUUAACAUGUUUAUGUGUUAGCCUUUAUAUGCUUUUAGUGUUGGCUUACUCAAUUGUUUUGAUCUUGUAGGUCUAUUUGCUUCUGCAUCAACCGAUUUCAAAUCUUAAUGCGGUGUAUCUCAAACCUCCAUACAUGGGUUCUGCGCAGUCACUUAAAGAUACAUACAUGCAUUCAUAUAUGAAUAUAAACGUACUUUCAUACUCUAUACAUUCAUAAUUGCUUACUUGCUUUCUUGAUUUUUUUUUGUUUGAAUUUCUUGCUAACUUACUUGCUUCCUUAUUUACCCCUUCAUUCAUACUUCCUCCAUUGCUUGCUUUCUUGAUGUCAUGCUUCUUUAUUGACUUCCCUGAUUUAUUGUUUCACUUCUUUACUUGUUUUAUUGAUUUGUUGUUUAUUUGGCUCCGUGUGUGCUUGCUUCCUUGUGUUCUGCUUUUGUUCUUCUUUGAGUUUGGGUUUGUAUUUGCUUACUUGGUUCCUUAUAUUAUUUUGCCAUUCUUUACUAGCUUCUUGCUUACUUAACUGGCCUACCUCCCACAGGAUUUAGUUAUCUGAUAAUAUCGACAACGUUAUCAUCUUUGAUCUUGUGUCUGUCUGAGAAGUCUGAUUUUUAGAUAUCAACUGUUGAUCCAACAUGAAGGAAGCCAAUGACAUCGUUUUUGUGAUUAUUAACAGUCUCUGUUACAGUAUUUUUGUUUAAUAAAUAUGAAUUUCAAACUGGCUAUAGUUUGGAGUUUAUUAACUGGCCUAAUGCCAAGUAAUCACAAAACAAUGAAGCCUCAAAUCUCUGUUUGAUCUUUUUUCUUCUUCACUUUACAUUGAAAAGAAACAGAAAGCAAUUCACAGGUGUAGUCACUUUAUUUAUCUAAUCUACUAAGAAGUAACAACCCACUCAGAUUAUUCGAUAGCUCUUACAUUCUUACAGACAGAUUUUUCGUAAGUUCAUACAGUGUGUACAAUUCAUCAUGCCUUCUUCUUAGGAUCACAGAGUGUUAUACACUUCUGAAACCAUCACAAGAUGCAGAGCACUCUGUUUCUUUAAUCCUUAAUCACAAACACAACGUUUAUACUUUCUCCUCUUUUUAUUUCAGCCAAUAUGCGACAUAUAAGUGCUUAGGUAUACAGUCUAUAUAUAUAUAUACUUACAUAAGCCUGCUUCGGUAAUAACUAAUAAGACUCCGUCAGUUGAAAGUCCAGUUUAUGCAGUCUGUUCAGGCUUCUUUUACUUGCUUCUUCAGAAAAUCCAGCACAAGAGACGCUGCAGUUAUUGUUUAUAUUUUCAUUUGUCAGAAAAUUUUGCACUGGAAUUCAGUAACUUUUGAGAAGCAAAAGAAAGAAGUGGUGCAAAAGAUCUUACUCGUUGCUCGAGAAUAGAAAUCUUCAGAGUCAGUUUCAAAGAAUCCAGCAGUUUCAUGACUUCCUUGAAACCAUCUUUGGCUGCAUCUUCAUUUUAUAUCUGCAACUUUGGUUAAUGAAACUGCCACAUCCAGAAAUAGCCACCAAACUUGGUAAAUGUUCCUUUAUUCACCAACAAAGAUUUUAUGGACGAGAUAUUCAUUAAACAAUUAAUUAUCCAUUAAUUAUGCAUUAUCACAGAUUAAUAUUCAGCGUAGGAAAAAACUGCAGUUUCAUAAUUCAAUCAUAACCAGUGGACCAAACUAACUCAUAAAACUAUGGUUGGAUUUUACACAACACUGCUAUAUGAAAGUUCAAUUGAAAUUUUUUAUUUCUUGUGUUUUCAUGUCCAUCUCUGACUUCAUUGAGGAGCACAUUUUAGUUUCACUUGUGCUAGAAAUUAAGGCACCACUUGUAACAGAGAAUAGCAAGAGAGUUCUUACGGUAGAUUGACAUGACAAUCAAACACACAAAAUCUUCAUUUGAUAUUUCAUGCUUCACUAUACAUUAUCAAAAUCUUCCAUGCUUCAACAUAUAUUUAUAUUAAUUUAUAAAAACCAUUCAGGCUUCAUCAUACAUUAUCUAGAUUAGUCUUCGCUUGAUGUAGAAAGAGGCUGCAGUUAUAGCUCCCAAUGGCAACCCUCGUAACAGAGUUAUAAUAAUAACAUAAAUUUAGGGUAGAUUGACAU